AUUGAACGCUGGCGGCAUGCCUUACACAUGCAAGUCGAACGGCAGCACGGAGCUUGCUCUGGUGGCGAGUGGCGAACGGGUGAGUAAUAUAUCGGAACGUACCCUAGAGUGGGGGAUAACGUAGCGAAAGUUACGCUAAUACCGCAUACGAUCUAAGGAUGAAAGUGGGGGAUCGCAAGACCUCAUGCUCGUGGAGCGGCCGAUAUCUGAUUAGCUAGUUGAUAGGGUAAAAACCUACCAAGGCAUCGAUCAGUAGCUGGUCUGAGAGGACGACCAGCCACACUGGAACUGAGACACGGUCCAGACUCCUACGGGAGGCAGCAGUGGGGAAUUUUGGACAAUGGGCGAAAGCCUGAUCCAGCAAUGCCGCGUGAGUGAAGAAGGCCUUCGGGUUGUAAAGCUCUUUUGUCAGGGAAGAAACGGUGAGAGCUAAUAUCUCUUGCUAAUGACGGUACCUGAAGAAUAAGCACCGGCUAACUACGUGCCAGCAGCCGCGGUAAUACGUAUGGUGCAAGCGUUAAUCGGAAUUACUGGGCGUAAAGCGUGCGCAGGCGGUUUUGUAAGUCUGAUGUGAAAUCCCCGGGCUCAACCUGGGAAUUGCAUUGGAGACUGCAAGGCUAGAAUCUGGCAGAGGGGGGUAGAAUUCCACGUGUAGCAGUGAAAUGCGUAGAUAUGUGGAGGAACACCGAUGGCGAAGGCAGCCCCCUGGGUCAAGAUUGACGCUCAUGCACGAAAGCGUGGGGAGCAAACAGGAUUAGAUACCCUGGUAGUCCACGCCCUAAACGAUGUCUACUAGUUGUCGGGUCUUAAUUGACUUGGUAACGCAGCUAACGCGUGAAGUAGACCGCCUGGGGAGUACGGUCGCAAGAUUAAAACUCAAAGGAAUUGACGGGGACCCGCACAAGCGGUGGAUGAUGUGGAUUAAUUCGAUGCAACGCGAAAAACCUUACCUACCCUUGACAUGGCUGGAAUCCUUGAGAGAUCAGGGAGUGCUCGAAAGAGAACCAGUACACAGGUGCUGCAUGGCUGUCGUCAGCUCGUGUCGUGAGAUGUCGGGUUAAGUCCCGCAACGAGCGCAACCCUUGUCAUUAGUUGCUACGAAAGGGCACUCUAAUGAGACUGCCGGUGACAAACCGGAGGAAGGUGGGGAUGACGUCAAGUCCUCAUGGCCCUUAUGGGUAGGGCUUCACACGUCAUACAAUGGUACAUACAGAGCGCCGCCAACCCGCGAGGGGGAGCUAAUCGCAGAAAGUGUAUCGUAGUCCGGAUUGUAGUCUGCAACUCGACUGCAUGAAGUUGGAAUCGCUAGUAAUCGCGGAUCAGCAUGUCGCGGUGAAUACGUUCCCGGGUCU
rnacentral:rRNA from 1 species